AUGUUGAUGCUAUUGGCUGAUGGCACUUUCUGCGUGCAGGGAUGCAGGCCCUCGCGGUAGUGAGCAACCUUGACAAAAUGGCAAAGCCCCAGGGGGUAGCUUCGCUCCGGGUUUGUGCAGAAUGGCUUGCUUCCGUGAUGUGGGAAAGGAAGCCCUAAUGCUGAUUCGGCCCUCGCAGUGUAGCACCUCAAGCGCAUCUUCUCUGAAUACCAGCUUUGCUUCGGAAGCGCACCGCGAACUCCCCUACAUGCACCGUUCGAUGCCACGCAAUCCAUCCAGGAAUAAGUAUUCUCGUUAGGAUAAUUCCACACAGGGAACCCCGUGCGGCCAGGGCUCUCGCCUGCGGUACGGUCUAAUGAGGGAACCAACCCAACGGUUCCCACGACCGACCGACAUACAUGUUAGGUAUGUGUGGAAGGGUGCGACGUAUCUUGGAGUCUUUCCGCCCUCAGGAACGUGAAGGGUGGGGUUAUUGUCAUAUCCUGAACUACGCUAAGGAUUUGAGCUGUUGGUGACACGGUGCUCUCUAAGCUAUUCAUGAACGCGACCUUGGUGCCCUCUUCUGUUUUGCCUCUGCGACAGUCCCUACCUACUCACCAAGCAACGAAAGCGAGCUGUUAAUCUCUAAUUCGUCAGGCUGCAUGUUCUUCUUGAGCAACGAAAGGAAAUGCUCCUAAAGCCUCGGGGGAGCAAAAUGACAUUCAUUUGGAAUACAUCCGCAAAACGUUUGGGAUGGCAUCAUUAUCUCACAUCGCGUGCUGCUU
rnacentral:lncRNA from 1 species